CAAGUCCAGGAAAACAAGCAAAGCGCUCUGUAGAAAGGUGUCAUUCACUCUGGUGUAGGGAAGAGAGCUGGUGAUCCGGCAGGGAAGAUUGCCUUACCUCCAGAUACCACUCCCUUGUGGAGGUUGCUUCACAUCCAUGACCAAGCCCAGAGGCAGUUGAAUGUCAGUGAUGGGCAAAGUGACCAGCCAGGAAAGCAUGGGUGGGCCAAUCCUGAAGUUUCUACUCAUCUGGAGUGCAUCCAUUGCCAGGAGACCAGCACGAAGACUAGGCUGUCCUUGUCUUGCCACUGCUCUGUGGCUGAGAGGCUUGCUGCCACUGAAGAGUGUGAAGAGAUCCCCCUACUAUUGAAAAGAGGACCUACAAUCCUAAACCACGCACCAUAGUUGUAAGCAGAAAUGGGCCUGGGCCAUGGGCUGCAG